CCUGAUGGCUCAGAUUUUAAAGCAUCUGCCUGCAAUGCAGGAAACCCAGGUUAGAUCCCUAGGUUCAGGA
rnacentral:tRNA from 1 species